AUGUCCCGUUGAGUCAUUGGCCAAGGGGGUGUUCCAUGGAAUCGUCAAACAUCAUAGGUGGUUGCCAAGGCUAUCAGAUGCUUUCCAUAACCUGACAAUAUGGCUCUUUUCCUAAAGACAUCACUUACAUAAGUCAUUAAACAUGAUGAAGUCCCUCUGGGGCACAACUAGAAGCUUCAUUCCUCUUGAUGAACAUCCAAGUGAUGGGAAGUUCUAUGCAUGCUACUGGAGGUGAAAGAUCAGGACCAUACUUGACUUUCAUCGGAGAAGCUCCUUCUCAGAGUAGGUGGACAUUAACACAAAGGCCUACAACUGGACACUAUGCAACAAGUGAAGCAUUCAGUAUUAAAUGGGAUGUUAUCCUCAAAGUCUUGCACUCAAAGCUCAAUGAUAUCUGUGGAAGAAGAGGGGGAAAGAUUUUAAGAGCCAGAGGUAAAAGAUGACUCAAAGAUGACUCAAGAAAAUUCUGAAUUUAGCGCCUCCAGAGUGUUUUGAAAACACUUCUGUUUCAACAGAGGACACUGCAAGUCUCUGGUGUCAAGUGUAAAGACCUUGCAGUGGUGUGGCAUCUGUACCAGUUCAAGGUGACAUAUGACCAAGAUAGUUGCCAAUGACAACUGUUGCCAGCCACUUGCUAGAAAUCUUCAAGGGUAACAUGACGCAGAGUGCAUUUCCUGUAUGGAGAGCAUAGAACGAUUUACUUUUUUAUCCUUAUCGAUGUCUUUGGAAUGUUUCUGGUAACUGAGGCUUAGCAGUCUAGUCUGUUCUGAUGUCUCUGUCCAAGCUGAACAAAAGGGUAAUUGAGCAAACUGUGCUCUGGUCUGCCUGGAAGUCAAUCCAUCUAUCUAACCUGCAGCUGCCUGACUGAUGGCCUUUCUUCUAUUCACCCCUCAGUCACUUUUGUAUUCUCUCCUCAGAUGCCCUGUCUUUGAGAAGUGAUCUUUCAAAGCACAGCAUCAAGCGUCCAGAAUGGCCACCUCUGACAAUCAUUUCUUUAAGGUUGAGUUUGGACAGGCUGCUGGUUACAUGCUUUCCUGACAUCAAGACAAACUGCAUGACGAUGAGGAUAUUUCCAAGUGCAUCAUCUCUUCAACCAAUAUUAUGUGGGCUGGGAAGGAGCUUUACCAUGAUAACUCAGUCAUUUCCACCAGCGUGUACUGGGCUACAGAUCUGGGACUACCUUGGAGAUGAUCAAAGUCCUGCCAGGUGCCAGUCACUCCGGCUAAUGACAUCCACAAACAUCUGCACAGCAGUUCCGAGCCUACAAAGCAUGUUUCCAUAUAUCUCUCCAGUCUGUUCCUUCAUAGUCCCUUUCCAAUUUGCCACUAAAGUGCCAGGCCUUUGAAAACAAUAUAAUCAAACAUAAAAGAGAGGCUAUUUAAAGAGUAAACAGACGCCUAGUGAGAGGCCCCUGGAGCUUCCUUAGAACAAGGCUUAGUUCAUGAACAUUAGCAUUUAUUUUGGCUACUCAGACAUUUGUGUUUCCCAAGGACUCUUGGCUGUGCCUGGAAUGGGUGAGGUUGGUAGAUGAUAAGAAAAUGCUGGCUUUAUUAAAUAUUUUUAUUAUUGUGCUUUCAUAAGGGUUUGGAAAUUAAUCAUUGUACAUUCAAGUGAGACAUGACUUAGAGUCUAUUUAAUGUAGGUUGCUCACUGUAUAAUUAAAGAUGUAGAAGACUAGAAAAUCUUAAGUGUUGAAGUCAGAGCACAGUCAAGAAAAUGAAUCUUUCAGCUCUUAGUCUUAUAUUCUUUUCAUUAAUAUUUCCUGCUUUGCAAUGCUCUAUAUUGCCUUGAUUUUUUAAAAGUACUCCUCAACUGGAGGUGUAUUUAAUACUUCUUACGAGAUGCAUAGAUCUUCAGAUGACAGCAAAUCACACACACACACACACACACACACACACACACACACACACACACACACAAACAUGCACCCA